rnacentral:lncRNA from 1 species
UCAAAGUGUUUGGUCUUGAAUUAUUCAUAACGACCUAAAAAUUUGAUAAAUAUGUAAAAUGUUUGUUUUGGUGUGAUUUAACUGUUUUAUUCCUCCCCGUAGUUGCAUUAUGGUAUUUCUGGGCUGUGGUGGUGAUUCACACGAUUUUCGAAUGCAUUUUGGCACCAUUCAUGCGAUAUUGCAGUUUUUGAUGGCUUCGAGAACCUUAUUUUGAAUCUAUGUGGAUAUAUUUUGAUCCGUUUGACGGAUGGUGGAAUGUCAAUUUUAGGCUGGAUAGACCCUUGAUUCAGGUCCCGAUGAACCCAUUUCGAUCUGUUGGUCAAAAAGAUGAAAAAUUGAAAAUAUAGGUGUGGAACCCACAUUUGAUCUAGACAACCUCAGAUAAAAAAUAUAACUGCACCAGAAGCUCCGGAAUAUCGAUUUUAGGGCGGUAACAUGUUUGGUGGGAUUUUACGGCUUUUAAAUCUCAUUUCGAUCCUUGAUUUGUAAAAUUAUGAUUUCGAAUUUCGAGGUUCAACUCUGUUAAAACGAUAUUUUUUCAAAAUUGAACUGCGCUCGGAACGUCGAAUUUAGUGUGGCUGCAUAGUUCGUUUAUAUAUGUCGGACUCCGAACGAAUUUCGAGCAUUCCGUCGAAGUCCGUUUGGACUUAGAAAAAUCUGCACUAUAGUAGAUUUUCUGCAAUAUAUAGCAGUUCAUUUUAGGUUUUUUUUUUUUUUUGACUCAUUUUGUUAAUUCUUUCACGUUAUCAGUUGAAAGUUAAACCCUAAAAUAGCGUGAGAGCUUAAAAGUGAAACUUGUGGAUGCUUGUGAAGCUAGAUUAACAUCUAUUUGUUGAUUCUAUUACAGAUUUAAG